rnacentral:rRNA from 1 species
UCGAGGGGCAGCACAGGUAGCAAUACCGGGUGGCGACCGGCGCACGGGUGAGUAACGCGUAUGCAACUUACCUAUCAGAGGGGGAUAACCCGGCGAAAGUCGGACUAAUACCGCAUGAAGCAGGGGCCCCGCAUGGGGAUAUUUGCUAAAGAUUCAUCGCUGAUAGAUAGGCAUGCGUUCCAUUAGGCAGUUGGCGGGGUAACGGCCCACCAAACCGACGAUGGAUAGGGGUUCUGAGAGGAAGGUCCCCCACAUUGGUACUGAGACACGGACCAAACUCCUACGGGAGGCAGCAGUGAGGAAUAUUGGUCAAUGGCCGAGAGGCUGAACCAGCCAAGUCGCGUGAGGGAUGAAGGUUCUAUGGAUCGUAAACCUCUUUUAUAAGGGAAUAAAGUGCGGGACGUGUCCCGUUUUGUAUGUACCUUAUGAAUAAGGAUCGGCUAACUCCGUGCCAGCAGCCGCGGUAAUACGGAGGAUCCGAGCGUUAUCCGGAUUUAUUGGGUUUAAAGGGUGCGUAGGCGGCCUUUUAAGUCAGCGGUGAAAGUCUGUGGCUCAACCAUAGAAUUGCCGUUGAAACUGGGGGGCUUGAGUAUGUUUGAGGCAGGCGGAAUGCGUGGUGUAGCGGUGAAAUGCAUAGAUAUCACGCAGAACCCCGAUUGCGAAGGCAGCCUGCCAAGCCAUUACUGACGCUG